AGAGUUUGAUUAUGGCUCAGGAUGAACGCUGGCGGCGUGCUUAACACAUGCAAGUCGAACGGGCUCAUAUUGAAACCUAGUGAUGUAUGAGUUAGUGGCGGACGGGUGAGUAACGCGUGGAGAACCUGCCGUAUACUGGGGGAUAACACUUAGAAAUAGGUGCUAAUACCGCAUAAGCGCACAGCUUCGCAUGAAGCAGUGUGAAAAACUCCGGUGGUAUACGAUGGAUCCGCGUCUGAUUAGCUGGUUGGCGGGGUAACAGCCCACCAAGGCGACGAUCAGUAGCCGGCCUGAGAGGGUGAACGGCCACAUUGGGACUGAGACACGGCCCAAACUCCUACGGGAGGCAGCAGUGGGGAAUAUUGCACAAUGGGGGAAACCCUGAUGCAGCGACGCCGCGUGAGUGAAGAAGUAUUUCGGUAUGUAAAGCUCUAUCAGCAGGGAAGAAAAUGACGGUACCUGACUAAGAAGCCCCGGCUAACUACGUGCCAGCAGCCGCGGUAAUACGUAGGGGGCAAGCGUUAUCCGGAUUUACUGGGUGUAAAGGGAGCGU
rnacentral:rRNA from 1 species